CGCAAGUGUCCUAGCGCUGCGGGCUGCCCGUGCCCGGCGCGCAUUCACCUCUUGCCAGAGGAGCCGCCUGGGCGAGUGCCCGGCCCCGGCGUGGGGCCCCGGGUUCCACCGCCCAGCCACAGCUUUGGCUGCGGGGCCCCAGCACUCCCUGCGACCCCCCCCCGGGGGGCUUGUUUUUAUGGCUGGGGGACCCCAGCCCGCCCCGCAGCCCGGGCUGGGGUCAGGGAGCAGCGGGACGUUAGGAGCCGUGGCAGUGGCAUGCUCUCCUACCUGCACAGAGAGCGAGUGCAACGGCCCGGGUGGCACAGGGUCACUUAAAGUGAUCCCCAGGGUGGCCUGUGGGCUGCUGGUGCAAGGCCCUGUGUCACGGUGUGCGCUAACAAGUCCCCUAACGAGGCCUGAUCGGAGCCCCCGGUCCCAGCCCAACAGAGGGGAGGCAGCACGCCUGAGCCCCCUGCCCGCCAUCCCCCAUCUGUACAAACACUGCUUUGACUGUCUCCCGGUGAUGCCAGGAUUGAAUUAUGUUUGUAAAUCCCUUUGAAGAAGUCUGUUUCCAACUAUCGUUCUGUUUAUUAAAAUGCAGCUCUCCCUGUGGGACAGAGGAGGAGAAACAAAGCUGCUCGACUGCAAGUUCCUGCGGCCGACGCGGUGCUCUGAGAUGGAGCCCCACGGUGCAGCCGGGCUCCGCAGCCUGCGGCGAGGCCAGCCCUCCCGGGGGCCAGUGCGUGGGACUGGCCUUCCAGCAGGGACUCCUCAACUGGCCUCUGCCGAAAUCUGCUCCGUGAUGGAGCUUCAAAACAAAGCAGAACAUGACUGCUUGUUGAUGUUUCCUCUUGGUCAGCCUGAUGUGUCUACAUGGAUUGCUGUAGCUGUUGCUCUUGGAGGGUGGAAAAAUCACAGCAGGUGCAUGUCCAGCAAAGAGGACACCCUGGACCUGCAAAGCAUCCACCCCACGUCUUGCAGCCUCAGCUGUAUUGCUGGUUGUGCCUGUGGCAGCAGCUCUUUACAUGAAAAGCGCUGAUUCCUUGGCUGGUUCGCGAGGCUGGUGGAGUUUCUAGUCUUGGUUUGGCUGAGGAUAGCUUGGCUUGCUGCUGUGUUAGCUUUCAGUGCAUCUGCAUGGUCAUAAGUGACACUGAAUCGUUAUGUUAUCGAUAUAACUUGCCAUUGCAUUAUUAAUAUUUGGGCUUUUUGCCUAAUGUGCAUGCAUUCUCAUAAGGAAAAUAGGACUCAUCAUUUUUUUUGUGUUACAUGAACUGUUUAUCUGCUGCAAAUGCAGCUUAAAGCCACCAGUAUUCUUUCAGAGUUUGGUCUGACUUUGUAAAAAGUCCUUGCAACUCAGUUUAGAUUGUUUGAGUUUAAAAGGAAAACCAAUAAAAUAAAUAUUACUCUUUGAAUUGAAA